GAUGAACGCUGGCGGCGUGCUUAACACAUGCAAGUCGAACGGUGAAGCAGAGCUUGCUCUGUGGAUCAGUGGCGAACGGGUGAGUAACACGUGAGCAACCUGCCCCCGACUCUGGGAUAAGCGCUGGAAACGGCGUCUAAUACUGGAUAUGAGCUGCGACCGCAUGGUCAGCAGUUGGAAAGAUUUUUCGGUCUGGGAUGGGCUCACGGCCUAUCAGCUUGUUGGUGAGGUAAUGGCUCACCAAGGCGUCGACGGGUAGCCGGCCUGAGAGGGUGACCGGCCACACUGGGACUGAGACACGGCCCAGACUCCUACGGGAGGCAGCAGUGGGGAAUAUUGCACAAUGGGCGAAAGCCUGAUGCAGCAACGCCGCGUGAGGGGUGACGGCCUUCGGGUUGUAAACCUCUUUUAGCAGGGAAGAAGCGAAAGUGACGGUACCUGCAGAAAAAGCGCCGGCUAACUACGUG
rnacentral:rRNA from 1 species